GACGAACCGUGCGAACGUUGUUCGGAUUCACUGGGCUUAAAGGGCGCGUAGGCGGGUGAUCAAGUCCGGGGUGAAAUCUUUCGGCUUAACCGGAAAAGUGCCUUGGAUACUGGUCGCCUGGAGGGAGGUAGGGGCAUGUGGAACUUCCGGUGGAGCGGUGAAAUGCGUAGAUAUCGGGAGGAACACCAGAGGCGAAGGCGGGCUACUGGGCCGAUACUGACGCUGAUGCGCGAAAGCCAGGGGAGCAAACGGG
rnacentral:rRNA from 1 species